AAUUUAUUUGGAGAGUUUGAUCCUGGCUCAGGACGAACGCUGGCGGCAUGCCUAAUACAUGCAAGUCGGACGGAUGCACAUUAGUGUGUAUCAGUGGCGAACGGGUGAGUAA
rnacentral:rRNA from 1 species